rnacentral:rRNA from 1 species
GAUAAACGCUGGCGGCGUGCAUAACACAUGCAAGUCGAACGAUGAAGAUUAAAAGAUUUCUUCGGAACGAACUUAAUUGGAUUAGUGGCGGACGGGUGAGUAACGCGUGAGUAACCUGCCUUGUACAAGGGGAUAGCCGUUGGAAACGACGAAUAAUACCCUAUGACAUCAAAUAAUCGCAUGAUAAUUUGAUCAAAGAUUUAUCGGUAUAAGAUGGACUCGCGUCUGAUUAGCUAGUUGGUAGAGUAAAAGCCUACCAAGGCAACGAUCAGUAGCCGGCUUGAGAGAGUGUACGGCCACAUUGGGACUGAGACACGGCCCAGACUCCUACGGGAGGCAGCAGUGGGGAAUUUUGCACAAUGGGGGAAACCCUGAUGCAGCGACGCCGCGUGAUUUAGAAGGCCUUCGGGUUGUAAAAAUCUUUUGUAUGGGAAGAAAAUGACAGUACCAUACGAAUAAGGACCGGCUAAUUACGUG